GAAGAUAUAGCUAUAAUAGUAAUUGCAAGAAAAUCUCCAGAGAACUUCCCAUGUAUAAUGUCUUUUAUGAAGAUACCAGUGUCUCCACUUGCCUACCAAAACACUCUUACAUUUUCCCAAUCCUGGCUUCAGAGAACACAUAGGUACCUUAUCAUUUGAGUCCAAGGUGUAUUGGCAGCUUCUUAAAAGAGAGUCUGUGGUCUGACUUCCCCUCUCCCUGUAGGCAAAGCCUUCCAUAAGCAGUUUACUAAAAUUAUUUGGUGUCUCUGUAAGUUUUUAUAGAGCUAUAAGCUUCUCACUACACGGUAAGUUCUAAUUUUAAUUUUAAUCAUCAUGAAAGUCAUUAAUCCAUAAAUGGGCCCUGUUUAGCCCUCUUUGGACAAAGAAACUAUUUACACAGAGAGGAUACUACCUUCCAAGCCAGCAGCUCAAUUUUAUAUCCUGGAGUUUCCCUUCAACAUAUUUAGCUUGUUUUCCAUGUGGCCUGUGUUUUCACUUGCCCCAGGAAAAAAGAUGCAAAAUCACACUGUUCUCUGUAAGGCGUAUUUAAUCUGGUUGCUAUCCCUUGCUAAUUUCUCUUCCAUCCGCAUUGUCUGGAUGGGAGAAAAGCCUGUCUGCCCAUGAGUAGCAGAGGUAAUCAUGUGUUGUUGCAAAAUUGCAGCAGGAUCAAACAAGACAAUCAGGUAAUGAAGAUGACAACCUGACAAAUAUUGGCAGAUUAUGAUUCCCGGCGACUUGUCUUCCUCCUCUCCCACUCAUGGCAAGCUCUCACACCCACGUCCCCAUCUCCGACCUCUGCUCUGAUCAUUGUUCCUGAUGUGGCUUUACCACAUAUGACACCCACGCCAAGUGGAUGGGUCCUUGAACCUUUGCUACUCCCACCUCAGAUUCUCAUUUAACCUCAUUGGGAUGGGAACAACUUAAAAAUGGAUAAUAACAAGCGUGCUGUUUGAGCCAUAGACCAGAUUCUGGAGUCCAUGGUAACAGAAAACAUGAGCUACCUCAGGAGUACAAAGCAGAAACCCACACUUGAUCAUCAGAAGCCCUAGCAGGUAUUUAACCAAGAAGGGAGCUGGUAAUGGAGGACCCAGAUGUUACCUGGAGGAAAAUGAAGCAAGGUAGAAGCAGUUACUCAUACCACUGCAACAGGCAUGCGAAGAUUUGUCAUUAAAUGCCAGCCAAGUGCCGGGAAUAUUUCUGAUAUUAUUCGACUGUUUGUUUGUUAAGCAAAUGUUGAGUUCUGACGCUCAGCCAGCCACUGACUUGUGGACUGGAGAUAUAAUUUAUUGCCUCCAUUUUAUCCAUGAAGAAACUGAGGUACAAAGACAUUCUGUAACUCACCUGAUGUCACACAGCUUUUAAGUGAUAGAGCAGUAUAGGAGCCCAGAUUUACUGAACUGAAAGCCCACACUCUUUCUCUCGUGUCACACUACAGGGGAAAGCAAAAGACUAGAAUUGGGAAACAGGCAUAAAACAACCUAGCCCCAUAAGACCCUAAUUGUUCCCAAACAGAAUCUCACAGAAUUAUAUUGUACUACCUGGUAUUUUUUUAAUAUUUCCUUUUUUCUAAAUUUACUUUUUCCAGAUGGUAUGGGUUAAAUUCACAUUAAUAAUCUGUUUUCAACAUAAACGAUUAAUUUCGUAAAUAGGGUAUUCUCUAUAUUAGUGAUCCCGUAUUAAGAAAGAUUUCACAUGUCAAUCUAUGGUAACAAAAAAAUUGGAAAAGCAAUUAUUUGAUGAGUGCUCACUUGGAGUAUAACUGUGUCAUCACAUAUUCAUUUAGGUCAUAUUCUAUGAUAUAUUACCUAAUUUCAAAGCAGGGAUUAUGCCUCACUGUUCUUUGGUUCCAAACCAAGUCCCUCAUGUAGGGCUUUGUAAAGAAGUAGGUAUUUAAAGAUAAUAGUGAAUUGAAUGGAAAAAAAGUUUUUUUUCUGUUUACCUAGCCUCACAUAAAUGUUUUUAGUGACUCUCUGUGAAUUUAUUUAAUAAAUAUUGGCUCCUCAGAGAUUUUGCAUACUUCACUGUUUUGUGAGAUAAUUCUAUCUGCAGGCAUAUAUUCACAAAUUCAAAGUCUUUAGUUGAAGUUUCAAGAGUAAUGGAGUAGAAUUUCAGUACCUUCCCCAGGAGGUUAGAAUUAUAAAAUUCUUAGUUUGGGAUUUACUUCUCCCUUCUGAUUUAUUCCAGGCACCAGAUUCUACUCUCUCUGUCAAACAGAAUAUGCAAGCCAUCUGAGGCUGAUUCUUCCCGGAAAUUAACUCCAGCGCCCACCCCAUCUGGUUAUUACAAGAUAUUGAAUGUAGUUCCCUAUGCUAUAUGGAAGAAAAUGAAGAGGUGGAGGAAGUAUGGAAAGCUGUUUCUUCACUGAACUUCCCUGAGAAGGGGCCAAGGAAGAGAUUGGCUUCAAGCUGAAGAUUUUGAAAAUAACUCUUUUAAAAGAUGCAAGAAGAUGGCCAUCUGCAAACCAGGAAGUGGGUCUUCUCCAGACACCAUAUCUGCUGGCACAUUGAUCUUGG